rnacentral:rRNA from 1 species
GACGAACGCUGGCGGCGUGCCUAACACAUGCAAGUCGAGCGGAGUUAGUAGUAAUACUAACUUAGCGGCGGACGGGUGAGUAACGCGUGGGUAACCUGCCUUGUACAGGGGGAUAACACAGGGAAACUGGUGCUAAUACCGCAUAACAUCAAACUAUCGCAUGGUAGAUUGCUCAAAGGAGCAAUCCGGUAUAAGAUGGACCCGAGUCUGAUUAGCUAGUUGGUAAGGUAAAGGCUUACCAAGGCGACGAUCAGUAGCCGAACUGAGAGGUUGAUCGGCCACAUUGGGACUGAGACACGGCCCAGACUCCUACGGGAGGCAGCAGUGGGGAAUAUUGCGCAAUGGGGGAAACCCUGACGCAGCAACGCCGCGUGAAGGAUGAAGGUUUUCGGAUUGUAAACUUCUUUAGUCGGGGACGAAUAAUGACGGUACCCGAAGAAUAAGCCACGGCUAACUACGUGCCAGCCGCCGCUGUAAGAC